rnacentral:rRNA from 1 species
GACGAACGCUGGCGGCGUGCUUAACACAUGCAAGUCGAACGGAAAGGCCCUGCUUUUGUGGGGUGCUCGAGUGGCGAACGGGUGAGUAACACGUGAGUAACCUGCCCUUGACUUUGGGAUAACUUCAGGAAACUGGGGCUAAUACCGGAUAGGAGCUCCUGCUGCAUGGUGGGGGUUGGAAAGUUUCGGCGGUUGGGGAUGGACUCGCGGCUUAUCAGCUUGUUGGUGGGGUAGUGGCUUACCAAGGCUUUGACGGGUAGCCGGCCUGAGAGGGUGACCGGCCACAUUGGGACGGAGAUACGGCCCAGACUCCUACGGGAGGCAGCAGUGGGGAAUAUUGCACAAUGGGCGGAAGCCUGAUGCAGCAACGCCGCGUGCGGGAUGACGGCCUUCGGGUUGUAAACCGCUUUCGCCUGUGACGAAACGUGAGUGACGGUAAUGGGUAAAGAAGCACCGGCUAACUACGUG